UGUGCUGGUGAAGCGUUCGGAUUGGCGGCUUCCGGCGGUUCGCCGCUGGUAGCAGCCGAGAAGUUCGUUAAACCCUCCCACCUAGAGGAAGGAGAAGUCGUAACAAGGUUUCCGUAGGUGAACCUGCGGAAGGAUCAUUG
rnacentral:rRNA from 1 species